AUUGGAUUUUUAAUUGGUUUAGAUAAUUAUCUUAAAAUUGAUUUUAUG
rnacentral:tRNA from 1 species